GGGUCCAUAGCUCAAAUGGUAGAGCGCUCGUUUUGCAUACGAGAGGUAGCGAGAUCGAUGCUCGCUGGAUCCA
rnacentral:tRNA from 1 species